GGUGGCUCAGUGGUAGAGCACUUGCCUUGCAUGCAAGGGCCUGGGGCCCUGGGUUCGAUUCCUCAGCACCA
rnacentral:tRNA from 1 species